UUUUUUGAGAGUUUGAUCCUGGCUCAGGAUGAACGCUGGCGGUGUGCCUUAAGCAUGCAAGUCGAA
rnacentral:ncRNA from 1 species